AUGCCGCGUGUGUGAAGAAGGCCUGAGGGUUGUAAAGCACUUUCAGUGGGGAGGAGGGUUCUUAGGUUAAGAGCUGGUAAAAUGGACGUUACCCACAGAAGAAGCACCGGCUAACUUCGUGCCAGCAGCCGCGGUAAUACGGAGGGUGCGAGCGUUAAUUGGAAUUACUGGGCGUAAAGGGUGCGUAGGUGGUUGAGUAAGUUAUCUGUGAAAUCCCUGGGCUUAACCUGGGCAGGUCAGAUAAGACUGGUCAACUUGAGUAUUGGAGAGGGUAGUGGAAUUUCCGGUGUAGCGGUGAAAUGCGUAGAGAUUGGAAGGAACACCAGUGGCGAAGGCGGCUACCUGGCCUAAUACUGACACUGAGGCACGAAAGCGUGGGGAGCAAACACGGAUUAGAUAACCCUGGUAGUCCACCGCUGUAACGAUGUCAACUAGCUCGUGG
rnacentral:rRNA from 1 species